rnacentral:rRNA from 1 species
AACUUCUGAAUGUUGACCUCGGAUCAGGUAGGAAUACCCGCUGAACUUAAGCAUAUCAAUAAGCGGAGGAAAAGAAACCAACAG